rnacentral:rRNA from 1 species
UUCCAGACUCCUACGGGAGGCAGCAGUGGGGAAUAUUGCACAAUGGGGGAAACCCUGAUGCAGCGACGCCGCGUGAGUGAAGAAGUAUUUCGGUAUGUAAAGCUCUAUCAGCAGGGAAGAAAAUGACGGUACCUGACUAAGAAGCCCCGGCUAACUACGUGCCAGCAGCCGCGGUAAUACGUAGGGGGCAAGCGUUAUCCGGAUUUACUGGGUGUAAAGGGAGCGUAGACGGCAUGGCAAGUCAGAUGUGAAAGCCCGGGGCUCAACCCCGGGACUGCAUUUGAAACUGUCAGGCUGGAGUGCAGGAGAGGUAAGUGGAAUUCCUAGUGUAGCGGUGAAAUGCGUAGAUAUUAGGAGGAACACCAGUGGCGAAGGCGGCUUACUGGACUGUAACUGACGUUGAGGCUCGAAAGCGUGGGGAGCGAACAGGAUUAGAUACCCGAGUAAC